GACGAACGCUGGCGGCGUGCCUAAUACAUGCAAGUCGAGCGGACGAAUCGAAAGCUUGCUUUUGUUUCGUUAGCGGCGGACGGGUGAGUAACACGUGGACAACCUGCCCUGUAGACGGGGAUAACACCGAGAAAUCGGUGCUAAUACCGGAUAACACGAAAUGUCGCAUGACGUUUCGGUGAAAGACGGCGCAAGCUGUCGCUACAGGUUGGUCCCGCGGCGCAUUAGCUAGUUGGUGAGGUAACGGCUAACCAAGGCGACGAUGCGUAGCCGACCUGAGAGGGUGAUCGGCCACACUGGGACUGAGACACGGCCCAGACUCCUACGGGAGGCAGCAGUAAGGAAUCUUCCGCAAUGGACGAAAGUCUGACGGAGCAACGCCGCGUGAGUGAAGAAGGCCUUCGGGUCGUAAAGCUCUGUUGUUAGGGAAGAACAAGUAACGCAGUAACUAGCGUCAUCGUGACGGUACCUAACGAGAAAGCCACGGCUAACUACGUG
rnacentral:rRNA from 1 species